AACGCGUGGGUAAUCUGUCCUGGAGUGGGGAAUAACUCGGGGAAACCUGGGCUAAUGCCGCAUGAUACCAUAGGGGCCUCGGCUCUGAUGGUCAAAGGUGGCGAGGUUAGACCGCUACCGCUAGAGGAGGAACCCGCGUCCCAUUAGCUUGUUGGUGAGGUAACGGCUCACCAAGGCUUCGAUGGGUAGCCGGCCUGAGAGGGUGUCCGGCCACACUGGAACUGAGACACGGUCCAG
rnacentral:rRNA from 1 species